rnacentral:rRNA from 1 species
UACGGAGGAUGCGAGCGUUAUCCGGAUUCAUUGGGUUUAAAGGGUGCGUAGGCGGUUUCUUAAGUCAGUGGUGAAAUCCUGCGGCUCAACCGUAGAACUGCCAUUGAAACUGAUAAACUUGAAUUUAAUUGAGGUAGGCGGAAUGUGUUGUGUAGCGGUGAAAUGCUUAGAUAUAACACAGAACACCGAUUGCGAAGGCAGCUUACCAAGUUAACAUUGACGCUGAGGCACGAAAGCGUGGGGAGCGAACAGG